GGGCUUCCCCUGGAUGAUGGUGGGGAUGGCUUCAGAUAACGGUCUUUGUUUUUGUGAAAAGGUCACAAUCAUUUCUUUAGUUUUGUCAAUGUUGGCUCUGGUGCAUAUAUUAUCAAACGCUUUGUCAACCAGUAGUCAGCCAACCACCAGGAGGCGAACACAUGGUUAGGGCUUCAUUUAACUGCCCAAAUAACAAGCGAGCGCACCCUGCAGCGGCAGCCUGAAAUCACUCAGUGGACUGGGCUGAUGAGAGCGAGUCAUGUCGAGAGAGGAAAGUACAGUGGCAACUGGAGAUGAGGAGCAUCAUGGUGAGGAGCUAGUGCCUCGAAACGGAUCAACAUCCAUUGUCUGGACUUGUUUCGGAUUCAGGGCAAGUGACGUUAAACAAGAACAAGUCAUAUGUAAAGAGUGUAGCAGAGUUGUGUCUGCCCCGCACAGUAACACAACUAAUCUGUUUAACCAUCUGAAAAAACAUCACAAACACAAAUACGAGGAAUGCAUAAAGGCUAAAGCUAACGUAGAUUCACAAAAUCCCCGUCCGUGUCCAGCGGCAACCCUGACAACCAUUACAGCGACCCUGCAUCGGGCAACACAGUAUCCAGCUACCUGCCAAAGACACAGAGAUAACGUACUCAAUAUAGUUUUAUUAGACCAAAGACACGUGUCCAAUAAAUACAGUGAGCAACGAGGGCUUCAGAAAAAUGGUCAAAACACUGGGCAAUAAAUAUGUGAUCCCCUCACACAAUUAUUUCUCCAAAGUGGCAUUACCUACACUGUAUGAAAAAUGUCAGGGAAAAAUAGAGAGGGAAAUCACGACUGUCGAGUUCUUUGCAACCACGACUGACCUAUGGUCAAGCAGAACAAUGGAGCAGUACCUGUCCUUGACAAUUCACUACAUUGACGGGAAUUUUCAAAUGAAGAGUCUGUACUUGCAGAUGUCAUUUUUCCCACAAGACCACACUGGAGAAGCUAUAGCUGAGGGACUGCAGGAGGCACUGGCUUCUUGGAGCCUGCAAGAGACUAGUCUGCAUCACAACAGACAGUGGCCCUAAUGUCGUCAAGGCAACUUCUCUAAAUAAAUGGACGAGACUUCAGUGCUUUGGCCAUAGGCUCCAUCUAGCAAUUGGUGAGUGGGACGAAUAAAAAAUACAAUUUAAAAAUUUACACAUAAUUGAAUUGUAUGUAAUAUAUGCUAAUAUAAUGGAGUGAAUGUCAAUGGAUGAAUUAUGAAAUGUUAUAUAAUAUGAAAAAAAUGAUUGGAUGAAUAUGCAUAUAUUAUAUUCUGUUUUAAUUUAACAUGAGUCUUAUGUUCUUUUAUAGAGAAUGCAAUGAGAGAUCCACGGAUUGACCGUGUGGUAGGCAUCUGUAAAAAACUUGUCAGCUGUUUCUCCCACAGUUGGAGGCGUAAAAAGGAGCUAGCAUUGGCUCAAAAGGAGCUGAAGCUUCCAGAGCAUGGGCUGAAGAUGGAACACCCACAAGGUGGGGAUCCAGGCAGGCAAUGAUUGCAAGAGUUCUAGAGCAGCAGAGGACUAUUUCACAAGUCUUAUCUUCUGACCAAAAGUCAAGACACCUCAUCCCAACAUGGCAGGACAGUGACAUCCUGGAAGCCAUCAACAGAGUCCUCUACCUCUGAUUGAGUUUACUGAUGCACUGUCCAGUGAGAAGUAUGUCAGUGUUUCUUUUGUGAAGCCAGUCCUCCACCUGUUCAGCUCCUCUAUCCUCAAAGUAAGUGAUGAUGUUCCAGACCUGACCAACACCAUCAAAACCAAAAUCCUCACUCACUUGGAGGAAAGAUACAAGGAUCCAGAGACACAAGAACUGCUUGAUAUGGCCUCUGCCCUUGAUCCACGCUUCAAGCUGAGAUACAUCAGUGAAGACAGGACUGCAUCAAUCCAGGAGAAGGGCCCAGCAGAUUCAUGUGGAGGGACUGCAGAGGAUGCACCCAGUACAUCAAAGAAAAAGAAGACCUUGGGGAACUUCUUCACGGUCACUGGGACAGCCACACCAAGAUCCUCUCCUCACCAGGAACAACAGGCUGUUGAAUCUGAGCUUAGGGCUUACCUACAGUGUGCCAACCUUGACAGUAAAGAGGACCUGCUGGACUAGGGGAAGGAACAUCAGAAACUCUACCCAUGACUUUCGAAGCUGGCAAAAAAGUACCUGUGCAUUCCUGCAACAAGUUCCUCGUCAGAGAGGGUCUUUAGUACUGGGGGAAAUGUAGUUACCUGCCAUUGCUCGUCUCUCAAGCCAGAAAAUGUUGACAGGCUAGUGUUUCUUGCCAAAAACCUGUAGGCCUAAUGUUAUUGCCUUUUCUGUAUAAGCUGUAAUUGUUUCCAUUGAGUUGCACUUUGUAAUUGUACUCUGCAAUAGCAUAUUUUUUCAGUUAGCACUGAACUUUAUUCUUAUUUAAAGUUUCAUUUUGCACUGAAAAGGCUUCAUAUAUUGUUUGCUUAAAAGUAGUGCAAUAAAAAUACAGAUAUUUUCCCUAA